rnacentral:rRNA from 1 species
CCUACGGGUGGCAGCAGUGAGGAAUAUUGGUCAAUGGACGAGAGUCUGAACCAGCCAAGUAGCGUGAAGGAUGACUGCCCUAUGGGUUGUAAACUUCUUUUAUAUGGGAAUAAAAUGUUCCACGUGUGGGAUUUUGUAUGUACCAUCUGAAUAAGGAUCGGCUAACUCCGUCCCAGCAGCCGCGGUAAUACGGAGGAUCCGAGCGUUAUCCGGAUUUAUUGGGUUUAAAGGGAGCGUAGGUGGAUUGUUAAGUCAGUUGUGAAAGUUUGCGGUGCAACCGUAAAAUUGCAGUUGAAACUGGCAGUCUGGAGUACAGUAGAGGUGGGCGGAAUUCGUGGUGUAGCGGUGAAAUGCUUAGAUAUCACGAAGAACUCCGAUUGCGAAGGCAGCUCACUGGACUGCAACUGACACUGAGGCUCGAAAGUGUGGGUAUCAAACAGGAUUAGAUACCCCUGUAGUC